CACCAGCGGCCGCGGCUGCAGAGCUUUGGGCGGAGCAACGGCUGAUACGCAGGGAAGAUAACGUCGACAGAUUACUUUACAGCCGUUGCAGUUGCUCACCUGACAUUGAGGUGAACCGCAUACGCCUGAGCCAGUGCAGAACUAGGAGCCUCACCUGACCUUGCCCCGGGGGCCACGUCGACACCCGACACCCGAGUCAACAGCGCCUCAUCUAUUGGGACGAUAUCGUAGCUGUGUUUCGUUUGCGACGGAAAUGAAUGCUGGAUUCGUUCGAAACACGAAGAGAGCCUUCAGAAAUAUAGUCUUCACCUAGAAUUCAGUGAUUGCCUUGCAUCCAUCUUGAGAAAAGUGUCAGCUUGGCUGCCUCGUUUUCACCUCGGAUUUCCCAUGUGUCAUUAUGACGUCAUAUACCAUGGACAUAUUUUCUUUCUUGUUUAGCCUAUACUAGGAUUACCCGCGAAAUGAAUAUUCAGGAAUUUAAGAAGAU